rnacentral:rRNA from 1 species
GUGGGGAAUCUUGCGCAAUGGGCGAAAGCCUGACGCAGCCAUGCCGCGUGAAUGAUGAAGGUCUUAGGAUUGUAAAAUUCUUUCACCGGGGACGAUAAUGACGGUACCCGGAGAAGAAGCCCCGGCUAACUUCGUGCCAGCAGCCGCGGUAAUACGAAGGGGGCUAGCGUUGCUCGGAUUUACUGGGCGUAAAGGGCGCGUAGGCGGACAUUUAAGUCAGGGGUGAAAUCCCGGGGCUCAACCUCGGAACUGCCUUUGAUACUGGGUGUCUUGAGUAUGAGAGAGGUGUGUGGAACUCCGAGUGUAGAGGUGAAAUUCGUAGAUAUUCGGAAGAACACCAGUGGCGAAGGCGACACACUGGCUCAUUACUGACGCUGAGGCGCGAAAGCGUGGGGAGCAAACAGGAUUAGAAACCCGGGUAGUCC